UUUUUUUAAGAGUUUGAUCCUGGCUCAGGAUGAACGUUGGUGGCGUGCCUGAGAUAUGCAAGUCGAGCGCACAUAGUGCGCAACAUUCAACCUCCAACAUCAAUUUGUUGAAUUAUGGUAGUUGGAAAUUGGAUGUUGUGCAUUGUGUCAGCGGCGGACGGCUGAGUAACACGUAGGAACUUACCCCAAAAUAAGGAAUAGCCCCGCGAAAGCGGGGAUAAUACCUUAUAGUGAGAGGUACCAUACGGUACCUCCCUAAAGGCCUUAACUGGUCGUUUUGGGACAGUCCUGCGGCCUAUCAGGUAGUUGGUAGGGUAAUGGCCUACCAAGCCUAUGACAGGUAGCUGGCCCGAGAGGGUGUUCAGCCAGAGGGGUACUGAGAUACGGACCCCAUUUCUACGGAAAGCAGCAAUCAGGAAUAGUCGGCAAUGGGCGAAAGCCUGACCGCGCAACGCCGCGUGC
rnacentral:rRNA from 1 species